GGAGGGAGGUGCCAGAACUUGAGUCCUGAGGCCCUGCUGGCCCCUGGGCGCAGGCCCAGCUCCGGCCCCCAGGGAUGGACCUCGUGGACCCUGACAUUUUCAAUAGAGACCCCCGGGACCACUAUGACCUGCUACAGCGACUGGGUGGCGGCACGUAUGGGGAAGUCUUUAAGGCUCGAGACAAGGUGUCAGGGGACCUGGUGGCACUGAAGAUGGUGAAGAUGGAGCCUGAUGAUGAUGUCUCCACCCUUCAGAAGGAAAUCCUCAUAUUGAAAACUUGCCGGCACGCCAACAUCGUGGCCUACCAUGGGAGUUAUCUCUGGUUGCAGAAACUCUGGAUCUGCAUGGAAUUCUGUGGGGCUGGUUCUCUCCAGGACAUCUACCAAGGUUAGAGAAAGGACAAG
rnacentral:sRNA from 1 species